GGAUAUAAGGGUGAUCUGGCUGAGGUACCUAUCACCCUAUUGAUUGUAGGGUUGAUUUAACUGAUCCAGUUGGCUAAAUGGGCAUCUCUUCCUCCCUUACUGCUUCAUUUUCAUGUGUGUCCUUUCCAAAGCUGUGUUUCCUUCCAAAACAAGUUCUCAAAACGAGCUUUGGGCUAGGGUUGUAGCCUAAUGGUGGACCAUAUGUGCUGGGUUUUAGGUAUGCCUUACAAUUGAUGAUUCCAGUGUUUUCUGUGGCUUACCAUGUUCAGAAUCCAUGCUGUUUUAAAAUUCCACACACCUCUGUAUGAAUUUCUAC
rnacentral:snRNA from 1 species